AACCUUAUGGACCUGCGGGCGUAUACCUGCGGAAGGAUCAUUAACCUUUCAAAAAACAGGGUGCGUCGCGGCCCCCCUCCGGGGGCGGUUUGGGGUCCUCCCCUUCACGCGCGCACGACUGCAUCCUUACUUUACGAGCACCUUCUGUUCUCCCUCGGCGGGGCAACCUGCCGUUGGAACCGAAUAAACCCUUUUUUGCAUCCAGCAUUACCCGUUCCGAAACAAACAAUCGUUACAACU
rnacentral:misc_RNA from 1 species